rnacentral:rRNA from 1 species
UACGAGGGGGGCGAGCGUUGUUCGGAAUUAUUGGGCGUAAAGGGUGCGUAGGCGGCCUGACAAGUCUGAUGUGAAAUCCCUGGGCUCAACCCAGGGCCUGCAUCGGAAACUGUCGGCUUGAGUAUGGGAGAGGUGAGUGGAAUUUCCGGUGUAGCGGUGAAAUGCGUAGAUAUCGGAAGGAACACCUGUGGCGAAAGCGGCUCACUGGACCAUUACUGACGCUGAGGCACGAAAGCUAGGGAGCAAACAGG